rnacentral:rRNA from 1 species
CCUACGGGGAGCAGCAGUCGAGAAUCAUUCACAAUGGGGGAAACCCUGAUGGUGCGACGCCGCGUGGGGGAAUGAAGGUCUUCGGAUUGUAAACCCCUGUCAUGUGGGAGCAAAUUAAAAAGAUAGUACCACAAGAGGAAGAGACGGCUAACUCUGUGCCAGCAGCCGCGGUAAUACAGAGGUCUCAAGCGUUGUUCGGAAUCACUGGGCGUAAAGCGUGCGUAGGCUGUUUCGUAAGUCGUGUGUGAAAGGCGAGGGCUAAACCCGCGGACGGAACAUGAUACUGCGAGACUAGAGUAAUGGAGGGGGAACCGGAAUUCUCGGUGUAGCAGUGAAAUGCGUAGAUAUCGAGAGGAACACUCGUGGCGAAGGCGGGUUCCUGGACAUUAACUGACGCUGAGGCACGAAGGCCAGGGGAGCGAAAGGGAUUAGAUACCCGUGUAGUC